rnacentral:rRNA from 1 species
GUCCUAGCUGUAAACGAUGGGUACUAGGCAGCGGGCGUCCGAUGCGCUCACUGUCGUAGCGAAUGUGCUAAGUACCCCGCCUGGGGAGUACGGCCGCAAGGCUGAAACUCAAAGGAAUUGACGGGGGCUCACACAAGCGGUGGAGUAUGUGGUUUAAUUCGAAGCAACGCGCAGAACCUUACCAGGGUUUGAAAUGCACGGAUUAGCUCCCUGAAAGGGGAGUGACGCCUUUUGGUGGAACGUGCACAGGUGUUGCAUGGCUGUCGU